UUCACAUUUUCACUAAUUUGUUGAAUCGGAAGCAAAAGCUCUGUUCCUUAUUCCUAAUUAUCUUUUAGCUACAAACUACAGUGAAAUGGCGAGGGGUAAUUUUUUGUAUUUUGGUUGAAGCCGUUAACACUAUUUGAACAUGCUUAGGAGCUGUCUUUGUUUCUAAAUCUCAACAUGCAUCAGAGCAUGUAGUUGCCUAUCUAAAUCGGUGCAUGCGGUGCUUGAUUGAUUUAGUAAUACAUCAAUGCUGGAUUGAUGUUCAUUCAGCCAAGAUCUAGAAAUUAUUGCAUGUCUUGUUCUGUUUACAUUUUUUUUCUGUUAGCCUUUUUUCUGGAAAAGAAAGAAGCAUUUGUGGUUAUGGCUAAGUCUUAUUUUAUUCUUAAUUUAGGUUGAAUAUUGGUUGUUUUCAUGGAUGCUGACCGGUUUGGAUCAAGGUGUGAAAGAAACAAAGAAUAAGAGAGGGUUUUGUGGGUGGAUAAAGGUAGGGAGAAGGAUAAUGACAGGGAUAAGCAUAGAAGGAAAGAUGAUGAUUGAGAUGAACAUGAAAAAGAAUAAGGGAGAAAAAAAAGAGAAUUUAUUUAAUCAUUGUUGGUAUCAGAUGCUGAUAUGAUUGAAAAUGUGGAAAUUGGGGAGUGCAAGCGGAGGAGUGAAGCUUACAGAGUAGCGAAGAAAAGUUCUGGAACAUUUGUCGACAGAAUGACGAGCUUGGGGUAGAUAAGAGGCCUCUACAAUAUGAUGAUCCUGCUGAGAAUCUAAUGCUGUGAAUCUUAUUUCAAUCAUUGAAAUUGUGCCAUUGAUAAGGGAUUGUCUUAAAUACCUACUGGGCGAUUAACUGGUGAAGCAGAGAAGAAUUAUCCAGCCAAACUUUAUUGUCUCUAAGAACCGGUUCCAUGUAAAGUCUGAACCUUUCUCGUGUAUGUAAAUUACCUCUCUUUUUUCACUCAUCAGCUCCGCAGAAGGCUUCAGGGUCCUCUCAUGAAUGUCAGAUUGCUAUACUUCUGAGGAAAUGCUGAAGUUCAGGAAACCCGAAAAAGAAUUUUCAUAAAAAGGAGAAGCUUGACAUAGAUGAUCUUGAAGCAGAGGCAAGCUCUUGAAGGAGAGGCUUUAGAUCUCAGUAUUUGUCGAUUGGAGAACUGGAUUUGUCACUUUGGAGGUAAUCAAGCUCCAAAGGCUCCUUUUAUAUCCCCGAUAAUAGGUCUUGUGCAAAUUAACUUUUGUACUGAAUUGUGUGUGGUAUUGACUGAUACAGAGUAUGUUUUUUAAUUCAUUAGUGUUUAAUAGAAAGCUAAUUGGUUUUGAAGCUGAUUUAUUUCUGUAGUAGGUCUUAUACAUUAAGUUGUUUUCUUCUGAUACCGUUGUCCGUAUUGAUUAGGAAUUCUUAGGUCAUUCCAUUGCUGAAUAUUUUGGGUGCUGUAACUAUGUGUUAUUAGUGUGAUUGUGUGACUGAAUGGAAUUGGUUUCAUGACUUGCUACAUUGUCGUUAGAUUCUUGGCCAUGUUUCUCAUACUUUGGUUGGUUGAUUUUUCCAUAUUUUAAAUAACUUCUAUGCAAACUGUAAGUUAAAGUUGCAUAUUUGUCCAUCCAAGAAUAUACACGUUUGCUUAUAACCCAAAAGAUAAAAAAAAUAAAAAAAUCUUAUUGCUAUAUCUGGUUAAUAUGUACAUUUACAUUACUAUUUGUGUGGUCAAUUUUUCCGAAACAUAAU